GGGGAUGUAAUGGUCUCGACGGGGAUAGAUGGUAUGUCGAUAGCGAGCCGAGACGCCUGAUCUCGUUAAAAUUGGCAACUAGCUUAAAUAUAAAAGCUAACGAAGAUUACGCACUGGCUGCUUAAAGCCACCUCUCUCUGACUGACUCCCACUAGGACAGAAGAGAGGCCAAAUGUGGGAUACUUGGCAGGUUUUGUCCGAGGGCCUGCUGGGGAACUUUUUAUCGGAAUCGGGAUGAGGUUCCUUGUUUGUGGGGUGCUGAUUCCUUAAACUAAUCCACAAACUGCGCUCGGAGAAGUCGGUGUAGCAAUAUUUUCGGACAGGAGUUCGAUUCUCCUCAUCUCCACCA
rnacentral:tmRNA from 1 species